rnacentral:rRNA from 1 species
CCUACGGGAGGCAGCAGUGAGGAAUAUUGGUCAAUGGACGAGAGUCUGAACCAGCCAAGUCGCGUGAAGGAUGACUGCCCUAUGGGUUGUAAACUUCUUUUAUAUGGGAAUAAAAUGUUCCACGUGUGGGAUUUUGUAUGUACCAUAUGAAUAAGGAUCGGCUAACUCCGUGCCAGCAGCCGCGGUAAUACGGAGGAUACGAGCGUUAUCCGGAUUUAUUGGGGUUAAAGGGAGCGUAGGUGGAUUGUUAAGUCAGUUGUGAAAGUUUGCGGCUCAACCGUAAAAUUGCAGUUGAAACUGGCAGUCUUGAGUACAGUAGAGGUGGGCGGAAUUCGUGGUGUAGCGGUGAAAUGCUUAGAUAUCACGAAGAACUCCGAUUGCGAAGGCAGUUCACUGGACUGCAACUGACACUGAGGCUCGAAAGUGUGGGUAUCAAACAGGAUUAGAUACCCCAGUAGUC